rnacentral:lncRNA from 1 species
GGUUGGAUCAAUUUUAUCAUCUUUAGAUAUGAUCAUCUGUAAAAAUGAAGAAAAAGAAGAAGAGAGGAGGAGGAGGAGAUGCCACCUGAGACCUUGAUGGAGCUGGGGAUAUUUGUGCUGUAAGCAGCGUAAAAAUGAAGAAAAAGAAGAAGAGAGGAGGAGGAGGAGAUGCCACCUGAGACCUUGAUGGAGCUGGGGAUAUUUGUGCUGUAAGCAGCAGUCACGCGGGUCGUCGGAUCAUCCGUGCUCCAGCCCUCAUCACUUCAGUCGGUUGAUCACAACCGUCCACCUUCACCAGUCAUCGCAACCAUAGACCAUGUUCCUCCAUUUAAGUAGCACACGAAACGCUCGCCCUAUCGCGUCCGAUUCUGCGGUCCGAACCCACUCUCCUUACCUACUCUUCUAAACCCGACCCAGCUUUCUCCGCUCCUCUCUCUCUCUCUCUCUCUCUCUCUCCGGUGGUNN